UACGGAAGGCAGCAGUGGGGAAUAUUGCACAAUGGGCGCAAGCCUGAUGCAGCCAUGCCGCGUGUAUGAAGAAGGCCUUCGGGUUGUAAAGUACUUUCAGUCGUGAGGAAGGUGUUAAGGUUAAUAACCUUAGCAAUUGACGUUAGCGACAGAAGAAGCACCGGCUAACUCCGUGCCAGCAGCCGCGGUAAUACGGAGGGUGCGAGCGUUAAUCGGAAUUACUGGGCGUAAAGGGCACGCAGGCGGUUAAUUAAGUUGGAUGUGAAAUCCCCGGGCUUAACCUGGGAAUGGCAUUCAAGACUGGUUAGCUAGAGUCUUGUAGAGGGGGUAGAAUUCCAUGUGUAGCGGUGAAAUGCGUAGAGAUGUGGAGGAAUACCGGUGGGCGAAGGCGGCCCCUGGGACAAAGACUGACGCUCAUGUGCGAAAGCGUGGGGAGCAAA
rnacentral:rRNA from 1 species